rnacentral:rRNA from 1 species
AUGAUGGCUGUGGACAGGUGGAGACCGUAUCUGUCCAGGGGAUCAUUCACAAUCAAGACUGAUCACCAGAGUUUGUGUAGUUUGGAGGACCAAGUCCUGACUUCAGACUUGCAAAGAAAAGCUAUGGCCAAGUUAGUAGGCUUGCAGUUUAAAUUCCAGUUCAAAAAAGGAGUUGACAAUAAGGUGGCCGAUGCCCUUUCUAGAGUGGGACAUGCUUUUGCCUUGAAAGGGGUUUCCAGUUCUCAUCCUGUGUGGAUUCAGAAGGUCAUCAAUUCCUAUGUAAUAGAUUCUGAAGCACAGGAAUUACUACAAAAGCUGGCUGUUACACCUGAAGCAGACCCAGAUUUUACUCUUCAAAAAGGUCUACUUAGACACCAGGGAAGAAUUUGGAUUGGUGCUAAUUCUGCAUUGCAAACUAAAAUCAUAGAAGCAUUUCAUGCUAGUCCCAUAGGAGGCCACUCAGGAAUGCAAGCUACUUAUCAGAGGAUAAAGAAUUUGUUUCACUGGUCAGGCCUCAAACAAGCUGUCAUGAAAUUUGUCCAGCGGUGUCAGGUUUGCCAACAAGCUAAGUGUGAACAGUGCAAGUAUCCAGGACUUCCUAAUCCACUGCCUGUUCCCCAAGGAGCUUGGGAGGAUGUGACCAUGGAUUUUGUGGAAGGUCUGCCUAAAUCAUGUGGCUACUCUGUGAUAAUGGUGGUAGUGGGCAGAUUUACAAAAUAUAGUCAUUUUUGUUCCCUUGAAACACCCUUACACUGCUGCUUCUGUUGCCCAACUGUUCUUGCAGAAUAUUGUCAGGUUGCACAGCAUCCCCUACACUAUAACAUCUGA